UUUGUCAGGAAAAUUUGCGUUACAAUCUUUUUCCGUAUAUUCAAAAUUAGCGCUUAAACAAAUAAAGUUGGAAAUAAUUUUUCACUUUCUAUUAACGCUUUAAAUAUUAGUAAAUAAGUUUUGUUGUUUGUUGUUUUAUUUUUUAGUUCUUUAUGAAUAAUAUUAAUUAAUAAAUUGAUAUUAGUCAAAACCCCGUUUAUAAAAUAACGCUGGUCAGGGGAAGUAAUUUUGUUGCGGUCUAUGAUUAUCGUUCGUGCAAUUGGUGGCGCUGUUUGGAAAAUUUGAAAACAACACGAUUGGCAAUUUAUUUGGAUUUCGAAGAUCCUGGUCCUGGCUGAAAUUUAGAGUAUUGCAGCUGUAGCAUGUAUACCAUACAUUCAACAUGAAAAGGACUGUCAGGAUGCUGCAUAAAAUGGUCUUAGCUAGAGCCUAGAAUGUUAAUUUCUUGGGAAUAUGCUGCAAGGAACUGACAGGGAGCAGUUUUUCUUACCAAUCAUAGAAGAAGUAAGAGACAGCCAAAGAAGUACUCAAACACUUGACAUACCCAGAAAGAUCUAGAAGAAAAGAUUGGAACAGAUUGUAGCUUAAUUGUUAAAAUUAUUAAAGUGAAUUAAAGCUGCACUUGAACUGUAUUUUUGAAAUAAAAUAUCUGAAGUAUUUAA